CCCCACCCGCCCUGCGGCACGUGACCAGCCCUGAGGUGCCGCCAUCACGGGAAGGGCUCCGCCAUCUUGAGAAGGUCGGCGGCAGAAACCCUCCUCGUGAGACCCCAUCCUGAACCCCCAUCUCGAGACCCCAUCGUGAGAUCCUAUCCUGAACCCCAUCGUGAGACCCCAUUGUGAAACCUCAUCAUAAGACCCCAUCCUGAACUCCAUCAUGAGACCUCAUGCUGAGACCCCCAUCGUGAAACCACUAGCCCCCGUGUACCCGAGGGAAGCUGACGAGAUGUGGCUCCACCUAGCAACUGUGGGCUCUGGCACUGCUGAUGAAUCUCUCCCAGGAAAGCAAACUGAUGGGGAAUGCAAUUGUCAAUGAAUGUAAUAUCCCUGUCCGGCCUGCAAUUGAAUUUUAAUUAGGUUUUGAGCUGCACUUAAUAGUUCCAUGAUGUCAGUUUUCAUCCACAUUACAAGCUGCUUCUAUGGUGGAGACGAAGAGACUCCAAAAUUAGAAAUUGAGAAGAUUAAUCCUAAAAACAGCUCUCAGUCCUGCUCAGUUCUGCCCAAUUUUUGAACUAAAACCACUACACCUGCUUAUCUGUGAAGAAAGGACCCAUCUAAGCUGCUAAAUCAAAUUUGGAUGUCAGAAGGCACGUAUGGCACCCAAAAUGCCUGUGGUCAAAAUAGGUCUCUUCUCCAGGAACACAUAAGCUAACAGGGCUGUGACAGUAACAUUAGCUGGCAGUGGAAGAGAUGCUGAGGUAAAGACAAAUACUGACUGCACAGAUAGGAACAUCCACCAAUAAUUUCCUGCUUCAGGCCACCCAGAGCAGUGACAGAGCUCCACCUGAGAACCCUGCCCAGCCACACAGAUCUAAGGCUUCUUCAGGCUGCCAGUCCCAAGCCUGGAUCAGAGCGCUGAGAUCUCCUGUCUGCACUGCUGGGAGAACUGAACAGCCUGUGUCAAGCGAUAGGAAUCUCCUCGUUGAGGCUGCAGGUAUGUCGUCCAGCCCAGCUUAUGGCAUGUACUGCUAAAUCUUACUACUUUGGAUGUUCUCCUUCUAUUUCUCAGCAUUAAAUGAACCCUGUCUUGCAUUGCCAAUACUACACACUCCUCUAAUAAUAGUUAUAUAUUCUUUCUCCCCACUGCCCCAGAAAUAGGUGGAGGGAAUCACAGGCUGUAGUUUUGCUUGCAUUUUCCUUAGCAAAUGUGGAUUUUUUUUCCUUCAGGAUGAGUUAUUUUUAACCUGGCUCAAUUCCCAAAUUAGAUACACUGCCUGGCAGCAAGAGCAAUUGUACCUGCGCACUAGGGAGGAGCUUGGGAGCCCAUGGAGCAGCUACAGGAGCAGGGCUGGGGCCAGAACUACUGCUGCAUGAGGGGCUGUUGAAAUACAGCCUUGUCUUCUGAUUUUCACAAGCACUCACAAAGAUGUGUAAGAAAUUGUUACAAGGCACACAUGGAGGCUGCUUAGAAAAACUGCCAGUCUUGGGAAUAUACACAAUUUCCCAAGGUUUGUCCUCAGCCUACCUCAUGCAGACAGCCAUUAGGAAAGGGUGGCUGAAUUCACUCUCUGCCACUUAAGUCACCUUUUUCUUCUCUGCCAAAGGCAGAAAGCACAGGUGUAACAGCACAGACAGGGCAGUGCAAAGUGCCAGAAAAGGCUCCAGAACACACAGUCCCUGGUAUCCCGUUGGUGAAUCCUGAAGAGAAAGACCUGAUCCUGUGGUGAGGGCAGCUUGUCCCUCAGCAAAAAGAAAAUGGCAAAGGCAAGCCACCAGUUCCCCAGGAGCUGUCCUGCUCAGCUUGUUCUCUCUUGGGUCAGAGAGAGCUGUCAGGUACCUUGUGGGUACAGUGUGGGCCCCUAAAUAAAGCCUUGGCCCCUAAACACUGUAAGAUCAGGGCAUGAUUUUUGCCUGUGUGCUUUUGUGCUGUGACACAAGAACCAGCUUGGCUGAAAACCACUGAUAGGAGUUGCAAAGCUGUGGCUGUCAGGAGCUCACUGAAGUGUGUCUUGCAGAAAAAAUAACAGCAUUUAUUAGCUUUAAACAGGAACAAAAAUGGAGAAGCAUUUUGGGACACAAUCCUUUGACCCUGAAACAGAAAAUUCCCACUCCAAGGCAAGUGGCAUUGCAAAGACUUGCUCUGGGUUCAAUUUAAUCAUGACAAGAGAAAAAGAUGGUUAAUAGCUGUAAAACUAUGGCUAGAGGUUGCAAGUCCUGUGCAUCAGAGGCAAGUAACUCUCACCUGAGCAGUCAUGGUUUGGACAGUACAGUGGGCUGGAAACAGCGGAAUACCCUACAAUCAGCAUCCCUGUGGUCAGCCAGGAAACAAGGUUUACUGAGACCUGUAGUUGUUAGUUCUGCUGUUACUCUAUAAUUCGAAAUAGCAACUUGGUUUCUGGGAUCAGUUUGUCAUAACAAGAUUCGUAUUUCCCCAAAGUUUAUUUACUUUUCCAGGUUCCUAUGCUUUUCUCUAAGCCAAAUCUCCCCAGGAAAGCCAAUCUCUGAGCAAUCACAGAUAAAAUCCUGAUACUUAAAAAUGCUUCUCCAACAGAGUGAAACAAAAAUUUGCAGCCUUUGGAAAAAAAACCCAAACAACAGUGUGAAAGGGUUAACAAAGAACAAGGUCAGCAGGCUCCGUGGAGGCAUUGUCUGUGCUGGCAGCUCUGGCAGUGGGUCUUGAACCUCCCCAAGUCUGCACUGACUGCAGAUGGCCCUGUCCCUGCGCUGCUGCAGAGCCCUGCUCCUCUCCUCUCCGCAAGGCUGACUCACUGCAGCUCUCCCAGCCACGCACGGAGCACCAAAGCACCAUGGCUGUGCCGGCAUUGCCACCCCCUUCCCCUCUUCUAAAUCGACUACUGAGUCAGUCCUUGCCAGAUGAGACUGCCCUCUGAGCUACCAUGCUCCUGGCAGUAAAGGAAUUUCAAAAACCCCAAAGGUCUCUCAUAUUCUUAAUGCCCCAAAUCACUUGAGAAAUGUGCUGAUGCAAUAGUACCAGUGAAGGACUUGAAAUGUGGGUUUUCAGCCAGGAGUCAUCACAGAGGAUUCAGAGCAUCACUGUCAUGGCUGAGACAACAUGUGCAGACUGUUAAUUUGACUCUGGGUUAAUUUGUAUGUCCUUGGCACAAAGUGAUCUUCCCCCAGUCCAUGCUCACCCCAGCUCUGCUCUUCUUGCAUGAGUUUAUAUACUAAUGACAAAGGCUUCAUGUUCUGAGUCAUGAAGCAAAAUGCUAUUGAAGGGAUUUUCCCUGCAUUGGUUCUACAAGUACCUAGUAACUGUCUCUGCACAAUGUCACCAACCUACAAGGGACCUUAGGGGUGAUUAGAACAGGGGGCCUUUCAAUCAGUUGGAGGUGCUGUUCUCUUUAAUGUCAUUUCGCUCACGUUCUUGUCAGCUAGCAUGAAGACUGGCAGUGGUGUCUCCUUACAGAAGGUAAAAGCAGAUGUUAAGCAUAUUUGCAGCCUCAGCUAGGACCUUCUCCUCUCCUCCCACACAAUUUGACUUGCCAGAUUAAAUCCUCUCACCAGAAUGACAAGCUGGAUGCAGCAUCCUCUCCAGAGCCUGGGUUUGGGAUUCAUCUCCCAGCUGCACCAGGAAGGCUCCCUCUGCAGCCAGUGUGAGACACAAUUAACCUACAGAUUCCAUAAACCUUUAUGACCACCCUGGGGAAGCCUAAUUCAGAGGUUUAGUCUACUACUUUUGCUGAUGAAAAGAAUGACCAAAAUAAUUCAGAUCAGGAAUUAUUCCUUCCCCUGGCCACUGCUUCAGCAGGCAUAUAGGAUUUUCCUUUAGUCACCUUAUGCCUCUGUACACUCCCACCACCACCUCUGCUCACACUGCCAUAAGGCAAAGCCCUUCCCAAACAAAACCAGCCCAGCCCAGUCCACUGAGAGGAACUGCAGAGAGAUCAGUGUUUUAUCAAACAGCAAAAAAAUAAACCCAUUCCUUUGGUAUUAAUUGUUGAUGACCCAGACAGAAUGAUUGGCUCAUAGCUAGAGUCUCCUGAAUGCUUAGGUGGACAUGGUGGCACCAGGCCUGGGGAACACCCUUGCCAGGUUAGAAGCUCCAAACAGCUUCAAUGAAUUCCUUAUGUUCUGGCCACAUCUCUCCAUGGUACCUGCACCAUUCACUGGACAGGUACCUUGGUGAAACACACACAUUUUCAUUCCCAACUAGGUGACACAUCCCUCCACAUGCAUCAGCUUGGUUUGAUGCCAAAGGCUAGCACCAGGUGUGAGUAGUAACAAUCUGGCUUGAACAUUUGGCUCUGCUCUCUAAGCUGCAGACUUGCCAGUGCUAACUGGGACCAAGCUUUACCACUGAAAGGGUCCAACACGUAUUUCCCAUAUAAGCUUGGCAGUACUCAAAUCCUCAGGCCAGAGAAGGCUGCUCCCACACUCAGCGGCUGCAGCAGCAGUAUCUCCCAGCUCAAAUGGUCCCAUGAUUUAAAAGAUAAAAAUACAAGUUCUUGACUGAAGCCAUUUUGUUGAUGAGACUAUUGUUGAGGUACUUCAGAAGCAAUUACUGUUCACAGUACAGCUUCCAAGCAGCUCAGCUUCUGCAGGGCCAGCACAAGGACAGGCUGCUUCUUUCCUGACAAUGGUGCUCCUCUCCUGGUCACAGGCUGCAGCCUGUACCCUUUCUCCCUGACCCCUGCUUACAGAGCACCACACUGAGCCAGAUGUGGUCAGUGUGAGCACAGCCCUGCAUCCCUGCUCACCACAAACAUGGCUCAUGGCAGCAGCUGGGAACCACACUGCCACAGCCCAGGAGAAAGGGAAAGUUGUGGCAGAGCUGGCAGCAUCACACUGGCAUGCUGACCAGUCACUUCAGGAACCUCCUCCCUUGAGGGACCUCACCCUCUUCCCAAAGGAGGGGCAACAGCUGGAAAUCAGAGCCAGGGAGUCAUUACAGCAAUGUAGUGAGGAAGUUUUAUUUGGAAACAUGGUAGAAGUUUGUAACCCAACACUGGGUGCACAACUGAUGCCGGAGCAUACGCAGUUACUAUUGAAACACAGGAGUGUUUCGGACAAUUGCUGUAAUAAAACACAAAAUUCUCAUACUCCAAUACCAGGACACUACAGCAAUCUUGAGAAUCAAAAUUACAUCCAAGGAAUUCUCUGCACUUACAAUUGACCCCACAGUGUAAUCUACCUAUAUAUAAGAUUAAUAUAUAUAGCAUGGGAAAUUGAAAAUCCUUGCUCCAUAGAUGUAUGAAUGUCAAGUCUUUUAUAAAUAAACAUCCAGUGAAGAGAAAAAAUUACAUUUCUAGUUCAUAUUUAUACAUAAAAUACUAACAGCAAUGGGUGGAAAAUUGCACACAGGCCACUCCAAGCCAUGCAGCAGGCUUGGAGCAGCCCAUCCAAGUUAAUAUUGAAGUACACACAGGACAGACGAGUCACUAA